UGCACAAAGCUUAGAUUACUUCCUCUCCUCCAUAUGACUCUAACAUAUGCUUUUACUCAAAAGGUUGAUCGUGUUGCAGACAUCAAUGCAACGAAACAGGCCUGGAAUUUAGUUGUUGGAGUUGUUCGUUUGUACGAAAUUCCUAGCUCAUGGAAUUCCACAGAUGUAUGCAACUUAGAGUUGGUGCUCCAGGAUGAAAUGAUGUGUAUCCAACUAUUUAUUUUAAGAAUGGUCAUACUAAUUUGUGGAGUUUAUGCAUGUUAAUUUGUGUGUGUGUUUGUAUGUGUGCCUGUUUAGGGUGAUCGUAUACAUUGUUCCAAUCCGAAGGCAAAUGUGGUGGUCUUUAAGACAGUUGUUCGUGAGUUUGGAAUUUACCCAAUGAGAAAUUUCAUUAUUCAGCCAAAUUCGAAAGGUGUGAGGACAACUUCACACAAGUUCAAGCUGAGUUUUUAUAUGAAAACUUCUGUCAGUGCUCUCUCCAGUGAGACCUUUCAAAUGAAUCCUUUCCGAUUCGUCUCCUUUACGGAAAUUGAAGCAAUUGAUGUUGUCAAUUUGAAUAUCCUCCUAGAUUGCAUUGGUCACAUUGUUGGAAAGGUGGAUGCUAGACCAAUGGUUACAAAAUCAGGUCAAAAAAGUAAAUGCAUGGCACUAUACCUGGAGGAUCUUGA